GGAAACAAUCCGAACAAAAGCAAAGGAAAUGCCAACAAAAGCAAUGGAGAAGGUGAGGAGAAUGGAGAUGCAGAAGAUGACGAGGAUGGCGGUGAGGAAGGUCAUGACGAUGAUGGUGAUGAUGAUAAUGACGACGACAAUGAUGAUGAUGAUGGAGAUAAUGAUGACGAUGAUCGUGAAGGGGAGGAGGAAGAAGAAGUUGUAGAGGACGAUCCAGAAGAUGAGGAAGAAGAGGACGACGAGGAAGAAAC
rnacentral:lncRNA from 1 species